UGGGGAGUACGGCCGCAAGGUUAAAACUCAAUUGAAUUGACGGGGGCCCGCACAAGCGGUGGAGCAUGUGGUUUAUUUCGAUGCAACGCGAAGAACCUAACCUACUCUUGACAUCCAGAGAACUUAGAAAAGAUGCUUUGGUGCCUUCGGGAACUCUGAGACAGUUGCUGCAUGGCGGUCGUCAGCUCGUGUUGUGAAUUGUUGGGUUAAGUCCCGCAACGAGCGCAACCUUUUUCCUUUGUUGCCAGCGGUUCGGUCGGGAACUCAAAGGAGACUGCCAGUGAUAAACUGGAGGAAGGUGGGGAUGACGUCAAGUCAUCAUGGCCCUUACGGGUAGGGCUACACACGUGCUACAAUGGUAUAUACAGAGAGAAGCGACCUCGCGAGAGCAAGCGGACCUCAUAAAGUAUGUCGUAGUCCGGAUUGGAGUCUGCAACUCGACUCCAUGAAGUCGGAAUCGCUAGUAAUCGUGGAUCAGAAUGCCACGGUGAAUACGUUCCCGGGCCUUGUACACACCGCCCGUCACACCAUGGGAGUGGG
rnacentral:rRNA from 1 species